UUAAUUUUUAAUUUAUGUUUUAUUAUUAGAAAUAACUUUUUUUUAAGUAAAUUUUAUUGAAAUAAUUCUUUUAAUUAUAGUUAAUUAGUACUGUGAAGGAAUUCUUUUUUUGAGUUUAAAGUAAAAUUUAUUUUUUGUACCUUUUGUAUCAGGGUUAAUUAAAAUUAAUUAUGAAUAUAAUUUUCCCGAAAUAAAGAGAGAUAACUUAAUAUGAAUAUUACUGUGUCAAAAUUAUUUUUAAUAUUAAGUUAGUAAUGAAAUGUUAUUCGUUCUUUAAUAUCUGGUUUCUUUAGAAUUAAAUUUAAUUUAGGAUAAAUUCAUUUAAUGAAUAAUUUAGUGUUCAUAAUAUUAAUUUAUCUAAUAAUUUGGGGGAUAAGCUCUAAAUUAAUUUUAUAAUUAGUAUURAAUAAAUUAAUUUUUGUAGGCUUAAAAUCAGCCAUCAUUAAUUUCGUUAUAGAAUAUAUUUAUUAAUUUUUUAUUUAGUUUAAUUUAAUUUUAUAUAAAGAUUAUAAAUUUAAUAAUUAAAUUUAUGUAAUAAUGAUUAAAUAAGUAAGGCUGCUAAUUAAGUUAUAAGAACUCGGCAAUUAUUGUGUUCACCUGUUUAACAAAAACAUGUCCUUUUGAUUUUUAUUUAAGGUCUAGCCUGCCCAAUGAAUAUUUUGAAUGGCCGCGGUAUUUUAACUGUGCUAAGGUAGCAUAAUCAUUUGUCUUUUAAUUGAAGACUAGUAUGAAUGGCUGGAUGAAACAUAAUCUUUUUUUAAUUUAAUUAGCUUGAAUUUAAUUUUUUAGUCAAAAAGCUAAAAUGUUAUUGUAGGACGAGAAGACCCUAUAGAUCUUUAUAUAAAGUAUAUUCGUAUUAUUUAGUUAUGUAAUUCGUGUGUAAUAUAUAAUUAUAUUUGGUUGGGGUGACUUUAGAAUUUGAAAAACUUCUAAUUAAUGUAAAUCACUAAUUAGUGAUUAUUGAUCCAUUAUUAAUGAUUAAAAGUUUAAGUUACCUUAGGGAUAACAGCGUAAUUCUUUCGGAGAGUUCAUAUCGAUGAAGGAGUUUGCGACCUCGAUGUUGGAUUAAAAUAAGUUAUAGGCGUAGCCGUUUAUUAACUAGGUCUGUUCGACCUUUAAUAUUUUACAUGAUCUGAGUUCAGACCGGCGUAAGCCAGGUCAGUUUCUAUCCUCAAUAGAUUACUAUAUUUUAGUACGAAAGGACCAAUUAUAGGGAAAAAUUUUUAUAAUUUGAUUAAUUUUACUAUUUUGGCAGAUUAGUGCGA
rnacentral:rRNA from 1 species